ACAGAGGAAACAGAGGAGGAGAGGUGUAUAUGUUACACCAAUCACAAAGCCUUUUGAUUUCAAGAAAUCUAAAGCAAAGAAGGUUAUGAAGAAGAUUCUCAACCCAUCUCUGUCCACGUCCAACCUCAAAGAGGCACAGGAAAAACACAGAGACAGCUUUCCACAGCACACACCAUCUCAGCUCAAGUCCCCCCACCAGUCAACAUCAGUCAUCACUGAUGCACAUGAACAGAAGCCCUCUCCAGAACAUGUG